rnacentral:rRNA from 1 species
AGGAACAACGCUGGCGGCGUGCCUAACGCAUGCAAGUCGGGCGGGGUCGUCUUUCGGGGCGGCUCAGCGGCGGACGGGUGAGGAGCACGUGAUCGACCUGCCCAUGAGUGGGGGCCAACCCCGGGAAACCGGGGCUGUUACCGCAUGCGUCCGGCCCCUGGUGGGGGGUCGGGGAAAGCCUUUCGGGGCGCUCAUGGAGGGGAUUGCGUCCGAUUAGCUAGUCGGCGGGGUAACGGCCCACCGAGGCGACGAUCGGUCGCUGGUCUGAGAGGACGACCAGCCACAGGGGGGACUGAGACACGGCCCCCACACCUACGGGUGGCAGCAGCGAGGGAUUUCGGCAAUGGGCGCAAGCCUGACCGAGCAACGCCGCGUGCGGGAUGACGGCCUUCGGGUUGUAACCGCUUUCCCGGGCGAGAUGACGGUACCGGGGAAUCAGCCUCGGCUAACUACGUGCCAGCAGCCGC